rnacentral:rRNA from 1 species
UACGGAGGGGUCAAGCGUUAUCCGGAUUCACUGGGUUUAAAGGGUGCGUAGGUGGGCAGGUAAGUCAGUGGUGAAAUCUCCGAGCUUAACUCGGAAACUGCCAUUGAUACUAUCUGUCUUGAAUAUCCUGGAGGUGAGCGGAAUAUGUCAUGUAGCGGUGAAAUGCUUAGAUAUGACAUAGAACACCAAAUUGCGAAGGCAGCUCACUACGGGAUUAUUGACACUGAGGCACGAAAGCGUGGGGAUCAAACAGG